AUGCUAAACAUCCUAAUAACUCACCUAAUCAACCCUCUAGCCUAUAUCGUACCUGUACUUCUAGCAGUAGCCUUCCUAACACUAAUUGAACGAAAAGUACUAGGAUAUAUGCAACUACGAAAAGGACCAAACGUGGUAGGCCCCUACGGACUACUACAACCCAUCGCCGACGGAGUAAAACUCUUCAUUAAAGAACCCGUCCGCCCAUCCACAUCAUCCCCAUUCCUAUUCCUAGCCGCCCCAGUACUUGCAUUAACCCUAGCCAUAACCUUAUGAGCACCAAUACCUAUACCCCACCCAGUAACUGACCUCAACCUGGGAAUCCUAUUUAUUCUAGCCCUAUCAAGCCUUGCGGUAUACUCAAUCCUAGGGUCAGGAUGAGCAUCAAAUUCAAAAUAUGCAUUAAUCGGAGCCCUACGGGCCGUAGCCCAAACAAUUUCGUAUGAAGUUAGCCUAGGACUAAUCCUCUUAUCCGUAAUUAUCUUCUCAGGAGGAUAUACCCUACAAACAUUUAACAUCACCCAAGAAAGCAUUUGACUUCUCAUCCCUGCCUGACCUUUAGCCGCAAUAUGAUAUAUCUCAACAUUAGCCGAAACAAACCGAGCACCAUUCGACCUAACAGAAGGAGAAUCAGAACUGGUAUCCGGCUUCAACGUAGAAUAUGCAGGAGGACCCUUCGCACUCUUCUUCCUAGCCGAAUACGCCAACAUCCUUCUAAUAAACACCCUCUCAGCCGUCCUAUUUUUAGGAGCCUCACAUAUUCCAAGCAUACCAGAACUUACGACAAUUAAUCUCAUAACUAAAGCCGCACUACUCUCUAUUAUAUUCCUAUGAGUACGAGCCUCGUACCCACGAUUCCGAUACGACCAACUAAUACACUUAGUAUGAAAAAAAAACUUCCUUCCCCUCACACUCGCCUUUGUACUAUGACACACUGCCCUACCAAUUGCACUAGCAGGGCUCCCUCCACAACUAUAAUUAAGGAACUGUGCCUGAGCACCUAAGGACCACUUUGAUAGAGUGAAUUUCAGGGGUUUAAAAUCCCCUCAGUUCCUAGAAAGAAGGGAAUUGAACCCAUACUCAAGAGAUCAAAACUCUUGGUGCUUCCUUUACACCACUUUCUAAAGGCGGGGUCAGCUAAUAAAGCUUUCGGGCCCAUACCCCGAACAUGACGGUUAAAGUCCCUCCUCCGCCAAUGAACCCAUAUGUACUCGCAACCCUAUUAUCCAGCCUAGGGCUAGGAACCACCCUAACCUUUGCUAGCUCUCACUGACUCCUAGCUUGAAUGGGCCUAGAAAUUAAUACGCUAGCAAUCACCCCCCUAAUGGCACAACAUCACCACCCUCGUGCAGUAGAAGCAACUACAAAAUAUUUCUUAACCCAAGCCACCGCCGCGGCAAUAAUCCUGUUCGCAAGCACAACAAAUGCCUGAAUAACAGGAGAAUGAAGCAUCAAUGACCUGUCGAACCCCAUCGCCAGCACAAUAUUUAUAGCUGCCUUAGCACUUAAAAUUGGACUUGCACCAAUACACUUCUGAAUACCAGAAGUUCUACAAGGAUUAGACCUGCUAACAGGACUCAUCUUAUCCACCGACCAAAAACUCGCCCCAUUCGCGCUUAUUAUCCAAACAGCACAAACCAUCGACCCACUGCUACUAACACUAUUAGGAAUUUCAUCCACAUUAGUUGGAGGAGAGGGGGAUUAAAUCAAACCCAACUACGAAAAAUCCUGGCCUACUCUUCAAUCGCACACAUAGGAUGAAUAAUUAUUGUAAUCCAAUACGCCCCACAACUCACCCUAAUUGCACUAGGAACAUAUAUUAUCAUAACCUCCGCAGCAUUCCUGACCCUAAAAAUAUCACUAACAACCAAAAUCAGCACACUCGCAACAACCUGAUCAAAAAGCCCUAUCCUGACAUCAACAACUGCCCUAGUCCUACUCUCACUAGGAGGCCUACCACCAUUAACAGGAUUUAUACCAAAAUGACUAAUUCUACAAGAACUAACAAAACAAGACCUCCCAAUUAUUGCCACAGCCAUAGCCCUAACCGCCCUAAUUAGCCUAUACUUCUACCUACGCCUAUGCUACGCAAUAACACUGACUAUUUCCCCCAAUAUGAUUAACUCAACAACCCCCUGACGAACCCAAACAACCCAAACCUCUCUACCCUUAGCCCUAUUUACCACAGCCGCCCUCGGACUCCUACCAAUAGCCCCAGCUAUCCUAAUACUAACCACCUAGGGAUUUAGGAUAACAUUAGACCAAAAGCCUUCAAAGCUUUAAGUAGAAGUGAAAAUCUUCUAAUCCCUGAUUAAGGCCUACAAGAUAUUAACUUGCAUCUCCUGAUUGCAAAUCAGACACUUUUAUUAAGCUAAGGCCUUACUAGAUGGGAAGGCCUCGAUCCUACAAACUUUUAGUUAACAGCUAAACGCUCAAGCCAGCGAGCAUCCAUCUACUUUUCCCGCCGUUUAACUCAGUAAGGCGGGAAAAGCCCCGGCAGAAUAUUAAUCUGCGUCUUCGGAUUUGCAAUCCAAUGUGUUCUUCACCACGGAGCUGAUAGGAAGAGGACUCAAAAACCUCUGUCUUCGGGGCUACAACCCACCGCCUAAGCACUCGGGCUACCCUACCUGUGGCAAUCACGCGCUGAUUCUUCUCUACCAACCACAAAGACAUUUGGCACCCUUUAUCUUGUAUUUGGUGCCUGAGCCGGAAUAGUAGGAACCCGCCUUAAGCCUCCUCAUUCGGGUCGAACUUAGCCAACCCGGGUCGCUUCUAGGUGAUGACCAAAUUUAUAACGUUAUCGUCACUGCCCACGCCUUUGUAAUAAUUUUCUUUAUAGUAAUGCCUAUCCUUAUUGGAGGAUUUGGAAACUGACUUGUACCACUAAUAAUCGGAGCCCCAGACAUAGCAUUCCCACGAAUAUAAUAACAUAAGCUUCUGACUACUACCCCCAUCAUUCCUUCUACUCCUAGCUUCUUCUGGUGUUGAAGCUGGAGCUGGAACAGGAUGAACCGUAUACCCACCUCUUGCAGGGAACUUAGCCCACGCAGGAGCAUCAGUAGACCUAACAAUUUUCUCACUUCACCUAGCAGGUGUUUCAUCAAUUCUAGGGGCAAUCAACUUUAUUACUACAACCAUCAACAUGAAACCCCCAGCCAUCUCUCAAUACCAAACACCCCUGUUCGUCUGAUCCGUGCUUGUAACCGCCGCCGUAUUGCUCCUUCUAUCAUUACCUGUUUUUUAGCCGCAGGAAUUACAAUGCUCCUAACAGACCGAAACCUUAAUACCACAUUCUUUGACCCGGCAGGAGGAGGAGACCCAAUCCUUUAUCAACACUUAUUCUGAUUCUUCGGCCACCCAGAAGUUUAUAUUCUCAUCCUCCCAUGAUUCGGUAUCAUCUCCCAUGUUGUAGCCUAUUAUUCAGGCAAAAAAAGAACCGUUCGGUUACAUAGGAAUGGUCUGAGCCAUGAUGGCCAUCGGUCUACUAGGGUUUAUUGUGUGAGCUCACCACAUGUUCACUGUUGGAAUAGACGUAGAUACUCGAGCAUAUUUUACAUCCGCAACAAUAAUUAUCGCAAUUCCAACAGGUGUAAAAAGUAUUUAGCUGAUUAGCCACACUCCACGGAGGAUCCAUUAAAUGAGAAACACCAAUACUAUGGGCUCUAGGGUUUAUUUUCCUAUUCACAGUAGGGGGGACUCACAGGGAUCGUCCUAUCCAAUUCAUCACUUGAUAUUGUCCUUCACGACACUUACUACGUAGUAGCACACUUCCACUAUGUACUAUCAAUGGGUGCUGUAUUUGCUAUUAUGGCAGCCUUUGUGCAUUGAUUCCCCCUAUUAACUGGAUAUACUCUCCACAGCACCUGAACAAAAAAUCCACUUUGGAGUUAGUUUUAUUGGAGUUAACCUCACGUUCUUCCCACAACACUUCCUAGGCUUAGCCGGUAUGCCACGGCGAUACUCCGACUAUCCAGAUGCCUACGCCCUGUGAAAUACAGUAUCAUCCAUUGGAUCGCUAAUUUCCCCUAGUAGCAGUAAUCAUAUUCCUAUUUAUCCUAUGAGAAGCCUUCGCCGCUAAACGAGAAGUACUAUCUGUAGAACUAACAGCAACAAAUGUAGAAUGACUUCACGGCUGGCCUCCUCCUUAUCACACAUACGAGGAACCAGCAUUCGUUCAAAUUCAAUCAAAAUUAACGAGAAAGGGAGGAAUUGAACCCCCAUAUGCUGGUUUCAAGCCAGCCACAUAACCACUCUGUCACUUCCUUCUAAA